AGCGAACGCUGGCGGCAGGCCUAACACAUGCAAGUCGAACGCCCCUUCGGGGGAGUGGCGGACGGGUGAGUAACGCGUGGGAACGUGCCCUUUGGUACGGAACAACUGAGGGAAACUUCAGCUAAUACCGUAUGUGCCCCCAUUCUUAGCGGGAUGGGUGGGAAAGAUUUAUCGCCAUUUGGAGCGGCCCGCGUUAGAUUAGCUAGUUGGUAGGGUAAUGGCCUACCAAGGCGACGAUCUAUAGCUGGUCUGAGAGGAUGAUCAGCCACACUGGGACUGAGACACGGCCCAGACUCCUACGGGAGGCAGCAGUGGGGAAUCUUGCGCAAUGGGCGAAAGCCUGACGCAGCCAUGCCGCGUGAAUGAUGAAGGUCUUAGGAUUGUAAAAUUCUUUCACCGGGGACGAUAAUGACGGUACCCGGAGAAGAAGCCCGGCUAACUCCGUG
rnacentral:rRNA from 1 species